rnacentral:rRNA from 1 species
AUACGGAGGGUGCAAGCGUUACUCGGAAUCACUGGGCGUAAAGGACACGUAGGCGGGAAGCCAAGUCUGAUGUGAAAUCCUACAGCUUAACUGUAGAACUGCAUUGGAAACUGGUUACCUAGAGUAUGGGAGGGGGAGAUGGAAUUAGUGGUGUAGGGGUAAAAUCCGUAGAUAUCACUAGGAAUACCUAAAGCGAAGGCGAUCUCCUGGAACAUUACUGACGCUAAGGUGUGAAAGCGUGGGGAGCAAACGGGAUUAGAAACCCUAGUAGUCC